GAGUUUGAUCAUGGCUCAGAUUGAACGCUGGCGGUAUGCUUAACACACGCAAGUCGAACGGUAACAGGCUAGCUUGCUAGCGCUGACGAGUGGCGGACGGGUGCGUAACGCGUAGGAAUCUGCCUAUUAGUGGGGGACAACCUGGUGAAAACCAGGCUAAUACCGCAUACGCCCUACGGGGAAAGGCAGGGGAGUCUUCGGACCUUGCGCUAAUAGAUGAGCCUGCGUUAGAUUAGCUUGUUGGUGAGGUAAUGGCUCACCAAGGCGACGAUCUAUAGCUGGUCUGAGAGGACGAUCAGCCACACUGGGACUGAGACACGGCCCAGACUCCUACGGGAGACAGCAGUGGGGAAUAUUGGACAAUGGGCGGAAGCCUGAUCCAACAAUACCGCGUGUGUGAAGAAGGCCUGAGGGUUGUAAAGCACUUUCAAUUGGGAGGAAACAGGCAGGUUAAUAUCCUGUCUCUUGACAUUACCUUUUAGAAGAAGCACCGGCGUAACUCCGUGCCAGCCGCCCGG
rnacentral:rRNA from 1 species